rnacentral:misc_RNA from 1 species
AAGUCGUAACAAGGUCUCCGUAGGUGAACCUGCGGAGGGAUCAUUACCGAGUGAAGGGCCUUCGGGCCCGACCUCCAACCCUUUGUUUUAACCGACCGCGUUGCCUCGGGGGACGAGCGAUCGUCCCCCGGUGGCCCCCUCAAACUCUGCUUCAUCAAGCGUCUGAGUACACUCGAGAAAUCGAAACAAAACUUUCAACAACGGAUCUCUUGGUUCUG